rnacentral:rRNA from 1 species
CAGCAGCCGCGGUAACACCGGCGGCCCGAGUGGUGAUCGUGAUUAUUGGGUCUAAAGGGUCCGUAGCCGGUUUGGUCAGUCCUCCGGGAAAUCUGAUAGCUCAACGUAUUAGGCUUUCGGGGGAUACUGCCAGACUUGGAACCGGGAGAGGUAAGAGGUACUACAGGGGUAGGAGUGAAAAUCGUUGUAAUCCCUGUGGGACCACCUGUGGCGAAAGGCGUCUUACCAGAACGGGUUCGACGGUGAGGGACGAAAGCUGGGGGCACGAACCGGAUUAGAUACCCGGGUAGUCCCAGCCGUAAACGAUGCUCGCUAGGUGUCAGGCAUGGCGCGACCGUGUCUGGUGCCGCAGGGAAGCCGUGAAGCGAGCCACCUGGGAAGUACGGCCGCAAGGCUGAAACUUAAAGGAAUUGGCGGGGGAGCACAACAACGGGGUGGAGCCUGCGGUUUAAUUGGACUCAACGUCCGGACAACGUCACCGGGGGCGACAGCAAUAUGUAGGCCAAGCUGAAGACUUUGCCUGAAUCGCUGAGGAGUGGUGCAUGG